GCCCUACGGGAGGCAGCAGUGGGGAAUAUUGCACAAUGGGGGAAACCCUGAUGCAGCGACGCCGCGUGAGUGAAGAAGGAUUUCGGGAUGUAAAGCUCUAUCAGCGAGGAAGAAAAAAGACGGUAUCUGACUAAGAAGCACCGGCUAACUACGUGCCAGCAGCCGCGGUAAUACGUAGGGGGCAAGCGUUAUCCGGAUUUACUGGGUGUAAAGGGAGCGUAGACGGCGCGGCAAGACUGAAGUGAAAGGAAGGGGCGUAACCCCUGAACUGGUUUGGAAACGGACAUGCUA
rnacentral:rRNA from 1 species